AAUUCUUGUAAUGCAUGUUGACCCGUCCGCGCUCCGACCCGCGACCCAAACCCAGCGGCCCUGCCCCGCGCUUUCUUCCCCACCCUGAACCGUAUUAGCCGCAUUUCCCCGCCCUCCCCUUUUAAUUUCUCUCCCUCUCUCUCUCUCUUUCUCCCCCUUGAGCUCUUUCAGCUGCAACUCUACGUUCAAUUACUCCGCCUCGUCAACCGCCGUUCUAACUUGCGCCGCAGCAGAUUUUAUCCGAUGGAAAUGUCGCUCUCUCUCGCGAUUUCCCACCAGCAGACGGCAACGAGAGCCACGUCUCCUCCAUCAAGAGCUACAGAUCUAAGAUCGAGUCGGAGCUCUUUAGGUGAUGUCAAGGCGCCCAACGACGUGGGUGUGAUUUCUACGAGUUGAGGCCGUUCUAACCAUCGGAUGAACAAGUUUGCUGAAAUCAUCGCAAGAUUUUCUACGGUAGGAAGCAUAACCAUUGUUGAGAUGAGAUCACGGUGAGUUCUAAUAGCAGAGCUAAAAUCAUUCCUGGGCCAACUGAGAUCAUGACAUUUUAGCCUUACUGCCUUAGUGCCCAAAACGUUUUUCAGCUUUUGUAAUUAUUCUUUGCUUGUGUAGUAUUUAGAUGGCUAGAGUUAAAUUAAAUGUUAGUAAAUUUCUGGCUUAGAUUAUUCAGUUGUAGAAUCUGGUGUUUUCGACCUGGAUUGUACUUGUAUUUUUGUAUCCUUUUAAGAAGACAGAGAUCCAUUUCUUUGACA